CGUACGAUACGAUUUGAUCCUGGCUCAGAACGAACGCUGGCGGCAGGCCUAACACAUGCAAGUCGAGCGCCCCGCAAGGGGAGCGGCGGACGGGUGAGUAACGCGUGGGAACGUGCCCUCUUCUACGGAAUAGCCUCGGGAAACUGGGAGUAAUACCGUAUACGCCCUUAGGGGGAAAGAUUUAUCGGAGGAGGAUCGGCCCGCGUUGGAUUAGGUAGUUGGUGGGGUAAUGGCCUACCAAGCCGACGAUCCAUAGCUGGUUUGAGAGGAUGAUCAGCCACACUGGGACUGAGACACGGCCCAGACUCCUACGGGAGGCAGCAGUGGGGAAUCUUAGACAAUGGGCGCAAGCCUGAUCUAGCCAUGCCGCGUGAGCGAUGAAGGCCUUAGGGUUGUAAAGCUCUUUCAGGGGGGAAGAUAAUGACUGUACCCCCAGAAGAAGCCCCGGCUAACUCCGUG
rnacentral:rRNA from 1 species